rnacentral:rRNA from 1 species
UACGUAGGGCGCAAGCGUUAUCCGGAAUUAUUGGGCGUAAAGAGCUCGUAGGCGGCUUGUCACGUCGGGUGUGAAAGCCCGGGGCUUAACCCCGGGUCUGCAUUCGAUACGGGCUAGCUAGAGUGUGGUAGGGGAGAUCGGAAUUCCUGGUGUAGCGGUGAAAUGCGCAGAUAUCAGGAGGAAUACCGGUGGCGAAGGCGGGUCUCUGGGCAACAACUGACGCUGAGGAGCGAAAGCGUGGGGAGCGAACAGG